UCCCCUUUUAACUACAGGAAACAAGUCUUGCUUCAUACCAGAGACAUUGCUUAGUGGAAGGCGUUGCCAUGGGAAGUAGAUGCUCCUUGGAGCUGUCGAAAGAAGCAGCUACAACCCCACUCGUCCUCAUCUCAGACUCCCAUGCCUUGUAACUAAAAGACAAAGACUGCCGGACUUAAGAAGCCUGGAAGCAAAGGGUCAAUAAUGAACUUUUAUGCUGUGCCUGAGAUCUAUGGGUAUGGGGUGG